UACGUAGGGUGCGAGCGUUGUCCGGAAUUAUUGGGCGUAAAGAGCUCGUAGGCGGUCUGUCGCGUCGGAUGUGAAAACCCAGGGCUCAACCCUGGGCCUGCAUUCGAUACGGGCAGACUAGAGUUCGGUAGGGGAGACUGGAAUUCCUGGUGUAGCGGUGAAAUGCGCAGAUAUCAGGAGGAACACCGGUGGCGAAGGCGGUUCUCUGGGCAUGACCUGACGUGAGGAGCGAAAGUGUGGGGAGCGAACAGG
rnacentral:rRNA from 1 species